rnacentral:rRNA from 1 species
UACGUAGGGGGCAAGCGUUGUCCGGAUUCAUUGGGCGGAAAGAGCGUGUAGGCGGCCAGGUAGGUCGGUUGUGAAAACUGGAGGCUCAACCUUCAGAGGUCGACCGAAACCAUCUGGCUAGAGUCCGGGAGAGGAGAGUGGAAUUCCUGGUGUAGCGGUGAAAUGCGCAGAUAUCAGGAAGAACACCCGUGGCGAAAGCGGCUCUCUGGAACGGUACUGACGCUGAGACGCGAAAGCGUGGGGAGCGGACGGG